rnacentral:rRNA from 1 species
GAGUAGGCCUCGUAGGUGACCUGCGGAGGAUCAUUA